rnacentral:rRNA from 1 species
CCUACGGGUGGCAGCAGUGAGGAAUAUUGGUCAAUGGGCGCGAGCCUGAACCAGCCAAGUAGCGUGAAGGAUGACUGCCCUACGGGUUGUAAACUUCUUUUAUAAAGGAAUAAAGUGAGGCACGUGUGCCUUUUUGUAUGUACUUUAUGAAUAAGGAUCGGCUAACUCCGUGCCAGCAGCCGCGGUAAUACGGAGGAUCCGAGCGUUAUCCGGAUUUAUUGGGUUUAAAGGGAGCGUAGAUGGGUUGUUAAGUCAGUUGUGAAAGUUUGCGGCACAACCGUAAAAUUGCAAUUGAUACUGGCAGUCUAGAAUACAGUUGAGGUAGGCAGAAUGCGUGGUGGAGCGGUGAAAUGCUUAGAUAUCACGAAGAACCCCGAUUGCGAGGGCAGCUUACUAAACUGCCACUGACAUUGAUGCUCGAAAGUGUGGGUAUCAAACAGGAUUAGAUACCCGAGUAGUC